UUAACACAUGCAAGUCGAACGCGAAAGGGACUUCGGUCCUGAGUAAAGUGGCGCACGGGUGAGUAACGCGUAGAUAACCUGUCUUCAUGUCUGGAAUAAUACGCCGAAAGGGGUACUAAUACCGGAUAUUCUUGCUUUUCAUAAGUUAUGCAAGCAAAGGUGGCCUCUGCAUAUGCUACUGCAUGAAGAGGGGUCUGCGUACCAUUAGCUAGUAGGUGGGGUAAUGGCCUACCUAGGCGACGAUGGUUAGCGGGUCUGAGAGGAUGAUCCGCCACACUGGCACUGGAACACGGGCCAGACUCCUACGGGAGGCAGCAGUGAGGAAUAUUGCGCAAUGGGGGAAACCCUGACGCAGCGACGCCGCGUGAGUGAGGAAAGGCCUUCGGGUCGUAAAGCUCUGUCAAGAGGAAAGAAGUGUACAAUGGCUAAUACCUGUUGUAUUUGACGGUACCUCUAAAGGAAGCACCGGCUAACUCCGUGCCAGCAGCUGC
rnacentral:rRNA from 1 species